AUUGAACGCUGGCGGCAUGCUUUACACAUGCAAGUCGAACGGUAACAGGCCGCAAGGUGCUGUCUUGUGGCGGACGGGUGCGUAAUGCAUCGGAACGCGUCCAGUCGUGGGGGAUAACUACUCGAUAGCGGAGCUAAUACCUCACACGUACCACGGAUGACAUCGGUGGCCCGUAAUACCUCGCGGGAUUGGACCGGCCGCUGUUAGAUUAGGUAGCUGGUGGGGUAAAGGCUCACCAAGUCAACGAUCAGUAGCUGGUCUAUGAGGACGACCAGCCACACUGGGACUGAGACACGGCCCAGACUCCUACGGGAGGCAGCAGUGGGGAAUUUUGGAGAAGGAGCGCAAGCCUAAUCCAGCAAUGCCGCGUGAAGGAAGAAGGCCGUCGGGUUGUAAACUGCUUUUGUACGGAGCGAAACGGCUCUGGUUAAUACCCGGGGCUAAUGACGGUACCGAAAGAAUAAGCACCGGCUAACUACGUG
rnacentral:rRNA from 1 species